rnacentral:rRNA from 1 species
UACAGAGGUCCCAAGCGUUGUUCGGAUUCACUGGGCGUAAAGGGUGCGUAGGCGGUCGGGUAAGUCUGAUGUGAAAUCUCACAGCUUAACUGUGAAACUGCAUUGGAUACUAUCCGGCUAGAGGAAUGGAGGGGAGACUGGAAUACUUGGUGUAGCAGUGAAAUGCGUAGAUAUCCGGAGGAACACCAAUGGCGAAGGCAGUGUCCUGGGAAGUACCUGACGCUCAGGUGCGAAAGCUAGGGGAGCGAACAGG